rnacentral:rRNA from 1 species
CUGUGCAAAGGUAGCAUAAUCAUUAGUUUUUUAAUUGAAGGCUUGUAUGAAGGGUCUGACAAAGGAAAAGCUGUCUUUAAUUUUAUUUUUGAAUUUAACUUUUAAGUGAAAAGGCUUAAAUAAUUUUAAGGGACGAUAAGACCCUAUAAAUCUUUAUAUUAAAUUAUUAUCUUGAAUUUUAAUAAUUUGUCUAGAUUUGACAAGUAAAAUAAUAAAUAUUUUGUUGGGGUGACGAGAAUAUAAAAAUAACUGUUCUUAAAAAAACAAAGUUGUUUGUAAAAUAAUUUAUAGAUCCUUUUUAAAGAUUAAAAGUUUAAGUUACUUUAGGGAUAACAGCGUUAUUUUUUUUUGAGAGUUCUUAUCGAAAAAAAAGUUUGCGACCUCGAUGUUGAAUUAAAAUUUCUCUACGGUGUAGAAGUUGUGGAAGAGAGUCUGUUCGACUUUUGAAAUUUU